GGGUUGUGAGGUUAAGCGACUAAGCGUACACGGUGGAUGCCCUGGCAGUCAGAGGCGAUGAAGGACGUGCUAAUCUGCGAUAAGCGUCGGUAAGGUGAUAUGAACCGUUAUAACCGGCGAUUUCCGAAUGGGGAAACCCAGUGUGUUUCGACACACUAUCAUUAACUGAAUCCAUAGGUUAAUGAGGCGAACCGGGGGAACUGAAACAUCUAAGUACCCCGAGGAAAAGAAAUCAACCGAGAUUCCCCCAGUAGCGGCGAGCGAACGGGGAGCAGCCCAGAGCCUGAAUCAGUGUGUGUGUUAGUGGAAGCGUCUGGAAAGGCGCGCGAUACAGGGUGACAGCCCCGUACACAAAAAUGCACAUACUGUGAGCUCGAUGAGUAGGGCGGGACACGUGGUAUCCUGUCUGAAUAUGGGGGGACCAUCCUCCAAGGCUAAAUACUCCUGACUGACCGAUAGUGAACCAGUACCGUGAGGGAAAGGCGAAAAGAACCCCGGCGAGGGGAGUGAAAAAGAACCUGAAACCGUGUACGUACAAGCAGUGGGAGCACGCUUCGGCGUGUGACUGCGUACCUUUUGUAUAAUGGGUCAGCGACUUAUAUUCUGUAGCAAGGUUAACCGAAUAGGGGAGCCGAAGGGAAACCGAGUCUUAACUGGGCGUUAAGUUGCAGGGUAUAGACCCGAAACCCGGUGAUCUAGCCAUGGGCAGGUUGAAGGUUGGGUAACACUAACUGGAGGACCGAACCGACUAAUGUUGAAAAAUUAGCGGAUGACUUGUGGCUGGGGGUGAAAGGCCAAUCAAACCGGGAGAUAGCUGGUUCUCCCCGAAAGCUAUUUAGGUAGCGCCUCGUGAAUUCAUCUCCGGGGGUAGAGCACUGUUUCGGCAAGGGGGUCAUCCCGACUUACCAACCCGAUGCAAACUGCGAAUACCGGAGAAUGUUAUCACGGGAGACACACGGCGGGUGCUAACGUCCGUCGUGAAGAGGGAAACAACCCAGACCGCCAGCUAAGGUCCCAAAGUCAUGGUUAAGUGGGAAACGAUGUGGGAAGGCCCAGACAGCCAGGAUGUUGGCUUAGAAGCAGCCAUCAUUUAAAGAAAGCGUAAUAGCUCACUGGUCGAGUCGGCCUGCGCGGAAGAUGUAACGGGGCUAAACCAUGCACCGAAGCUGCGGCAGCGACACUAUGUGUUGUUGGGUAGGGGAGCGUUCUGUAAGCCUGUGAAGGUGUGCUGUGAGGCAUGCUGGAGGU
rnacentral:rRNA from 1 species